UACAGAGGUCUCAAGCGUUGUUCGGAUUCAUUGGGCGUAAAGGGUGCGUAGGUGGCGCCGUAAGUCGGAUGUGAAAUUUCGGAGCUUAACUCCGAAACUGCAUUCGAUACUGCGGUGCUUGAGGACUGGAGAGGAGACUGGAAUUCGAUGGUGUAGCAGUGAAAUGCGUAGAGAUCAUGAGGAAGACCAGUGGCGAAGGCGGGUCUCUGGACAGUUCCUGACACUGAGGCACGAAGGCCAGGGGAGGCAAACGGG
rnacentral:rRNA from 1 species